CUUUAAAUCAGCUAAUAUUAUAAAGCUAUUGGGCUCAUAACCCAAAAACGGAAUUCCCUUUAAAGA
rnacentral:tRNA from 1 species